rnacentral:rRNA from 1 species
AGGGAAAGAGGGAGGAAGGAAGAACACAUGUAAGUCGAGCGGAUGAAGGGAGCUUGCUGAUGGAUUGAGGGGAGGAGGGGUGAGUAAUGGAUAGGAAUAUGUAUGGUAGUGGGGGAUAACGUCCGGAAACGGGCGCUAAUACCGCAUACGUCCUGAGGGAGAAAGUGGGGGAUCUUCGGACCUCACGCUAUCAGAUGAGCCUAGGUCGGAUUAGCUAGUUGGUGGGGUAAAGGCCUACCAAGGCGACGAUUCGGAACUGGUCUGAGAGGAUGAUCAGUCACACUGGAACUGAGACACGGUCCAGACUCCUACGGGAGGCAGCAGUGGGGAAUAUUGGACAAUGGGCGAAAGCCUGAUCCAGCCAUGCCGCGUGUGUGAAGAAGGUCUUCGGAUUGUAAAGCACUUUAAGUUCGGAUGAAGGGCAGUAAGUUAAUACCUUGCUGUUUUGACGUUACCAACAGAAUAAGCACCGGCUCCCUUCGUU